UUCCGGUUGAUCCCGCCGGACCUGACUGCUAUCGGAUUGAUACUAAGCCAUGCGAGUUUUUGUAGCAAUACAAGGCAUACGGCUCAGUAACACGUAGUCAAUCUAACCUAUGGACGAGGAUAACCUCGGGAAACUGAGAAUAAUACUCGAUAGAUCAUUAUGCCUGGAACGGUUUAUGGUUCAAAUGAAUUUCGCCAUAGGAUGGGACUGCGGUCUAUCAGCUUGUUGGUGAUGUAAUGGACCACCAAGGCUAUAACAGAUACGGGCUCUGAGAGGAGAAGCCCGGAGAUGGGUACUGAAACACGGACCCAGGCCCUAUGGGGCGCAGCAGGCGAGAAAACUUUGCAAUGUGCGAAAGCACGACAAGGUUAAUCCGAGUGAUUCCUGCUAAAGGAAUCUUUUGUUUGUCAUAAAACCACUAAUGAAUAAGGGGUGGGCAAGUUCUGGUGUCAGCCGCCGCGGUAAAACCAGCACCUCAAGUGGUCAGGAUGAUUAUUGGGCCUAAAGCAUCCGUAGCCGGCUCUGUAAGUUUUCGGUUAAAUCCAUAUGCUCAACAUAUGGGCCGCCGGGAAUACUGCAUAGCUAGGGAGUGGGAGAGGUAGACGGUACUCCGUAGGAAGGGGUAAAAUCCUUUGAUCUAUGGAUGACCACCAGUGGCGAAGGCGGUCUACCAGAACACGUUCGACGGUGAGGGAUGAAAGCUGGGGGAGCGAACCGGAUUAGAUACCCGGGUAGUCCCAGCUGUAAACUAUGCAAACUCAGUGAUGCAUUGGCUUGUGGCCAGUGCAGUGCCGCAGAGAAGUCGUUAAGUUUGCCGCCUGGGAAGUACGUACGCAAGUAUGAAACUUAAAGGAAUUGGCGGGGGAGCACCACAAGGGGUGAAGCCUGCGGUUCAAUUGGAUUCAACGCCGGG
rnacentral:rRNA from 1 species